UACGUAGGGACCAAGCGUUGUUCGGAUUUACUGGGCGUAAAGGGCGCGUAGGCGGCAUGACAAGUCACUUGUGAAAUCUCUGGGCUUAACUCAGAACGGCCAAGUGAUACUGUCGCGCUAGAGUGCAGAAAGGGCAAUCGGAAUUCUUGGUGUAGCGGUGAAAUGCGCAGAUAUCGUGAGGAACACCAGAGGCGAAGGCGGCUACCUGGAUAAUUGCUGACGCUCAGGCACGAAAGCGUGGGGAGCAAAAGGG
rnacentral:rRNA from 1 species